CUUGCAAUUUCCAGUAUAAAAGAUUAUAAUCUGGCUAUCACGAAAGUGAUGAUGAUUCUGAACCCGUUGUGGAAUAGUCGCUUUGGACCCGGGGGCGGUACCCGGCACCUCCACCAAGAAAAAUUAUGGGGGUGUAUUAGUUUCGACAGGUGAAAUAAAGACAAAUGGCUGAAUCCGACAUGGCGUCGUUAAAAGCCGAUAAAAAAAUGAAUGCGAACGAUAAUCGUUUGCUUGCAAUGGCUGCCUAAUAAUGGCUUGGGCGUGGUUGGCAAUGGUUAACCUGCCCGUUUGAAGCUUUUGCGGGGCCACCGGGUGCCUGGCACCAGAAACCC
rnacentral:tmRNA from 1 species